AAGAGACCACAAUGAUGGCCCGGGGGUUGACCAAGUCCGUGUCGAACAGCGUUUGCCGCCCACUGCCGUCCAGGUUGGCGCUCUCGAUCACGUCGGGCGUGGAGUCGACCCAGAAUAUCAACCUCCGUUUGACGUCCACGGCCAAACCCUCUGGACUCACCAGAUCUGCAGAGAUUACAAGAUACAGAGAGGCAUUCCAAGGCUGUGACCCUUUGACCUCGACCGCGCACCACUCUCAAGCUCACUGUCGUCAUUCCUUCACAUUCCCAUGACAUCAAUGGGCAGCUAUUCUACCCGGCAACCCCCACCCCCCACGAGAAAAUCUGUCAUUGGCUGGGAUAUUAUUUUCAAGAAAGCCGUGUGUUCCACUCACCUCCGACCGGGCUGAUCUUGUUGGUGAUGGCGUAUCUCAGGAUCCGCUCCUCCUUGACGUACAUCACAAACACCCUCUCCAUGGUGAUCUGCAGAGUCUCCGGGGCAGCGGCGCGGU